ACGCUGGCGGCGUGCCUAACACAUGCAAGUCGAACGAGGUAUUUUGAUUGAAGUUUUCGGAUGGAUUUCAAGGUACCGAGUGGCGGACGGGUGAGUAACGCGUGGGUAACCUGCCUCAUACAGGGGGAUAACGGUUAGAAAUGACUGCUAAUACCGCAUAAGCGCACAGUACCGCAUGGUACGGUGUGAAAAACUCCGGUGGUAUGAGAUGGACCCGCGUCUGAUUAGCUAGUUGGUGAGGUAACGGCCCACCAAGGCGACGAUCAGUAGCCGACCUGAGAGGGUGACCGGCCACAUUGGGACUGAGACACGGCCCAGACUCCUACGGGAGGCAGCAGUGGG
rnacentral:rRNA from 1 species